CAGUAGCCGCGGGAAUACGAGGGGGGCAAGCGUUGUUCGGAAUUAUUGGGCGUAAAGGGUGCGUAGGCGGUUUGGCAAGUUUGGUGUGAAAUCUUCGGGCUCAACUCGAAGUCUGCAUCGAAAACUGCCGGGCUUGAGUAUGGGAGAGGUGAGUGGAAUUUCCGGUGUAGCGGUGAAAUGCGUAGAUAUCGGAAGGAACACCUGUGGCGAAAGCGGCUCACUGGACCAUAACUGACGCUGAUGCACGAAAGCUAGGGGAGCAAACAGGAUUAGAUACCCGUGUAGUCCCUGUCUCUUAUAC
rnacentral:rRNA from 1 species